rnacentral:snRNA from 1 species
AUCGCUUCUCGGCCUUUUGGCUAAGAUCAAGUGUAGUAAAAUACUGUUACAAAAUAAUAUAAACAUUCCAGCUUUUUAUUUUUUAAAAUUAUUUAUUUCGAUUUUUUGAGAUAGGGUUUCACUAUGUAGUUGAGACUGACCGGGAACUCACUAUGUAGCCCAGCCUGGUCUUGAACUC